UACAGAGGUCUCAAGCGUUGUCCGGAUUUAUUGGGUUUAAAGGGUGCGUAGGCGGUCUUAUAAGUCAGUGCUGAAAUAUCCCGGCUUAACCGGGAGGGUGGCAUUGAUACUGUAGGACUUGAGUAGAGUUGAGGUCGGCGGAAUUGACGGUGUAGCGGUGAAAUGCUUAGAUAUCGUCAAGAACACCGAUAGUGAAGGCAGCUAACUAAGCUCAACUGACGCUGAGGCACGAAAGUGUGGGGAUCAAACAGG
rnacentral:rRNA from 1 species